GACGAACGCUGGCGGCGUGCUUAACACAUGCAAGUCGAACGGAAAGGCCCUGCUUUUGUGGGGUGCUCGAGUGGCGAACGGGUGAGUAACACGUGAGUAACCUGCCCUUGACUUUGGGAUAACUUCAGGAAACUGGGGCUAAUACCGGAUAGGAGCUCCUGCUGCAUGGUGGGGGUUGGAAAGUUUCGGCGGUUGGGGAUGGACUCGCGGCUUAUCAGCUUGUUGGUGGGGUAGUGGCUUACCAAGGCUUUGACGGGUAGCCGGCCUGAGAGGGGGACCGGCCACAUUGGGACUGAGAUACGGCGCAGACUCCUACGGGAGGCAGCAGUGGGGAAUAUUGCACAAUGGGCGGAAGCCUGAUGCAGCAACGCCGCGUGCGGGAUGACGGCCUUCGGGUUGUAAACCGCUUUCGCCUGUGACGAAGCGUGAGUGACGGUAAUGGGUAAAGAAGCACCGGCUAACUACGUG
rnacentral:rRNA from 1 species